AGCAGCAUGGCGCAGAUGGAAGCGCGCGGGGCCCAUAUUAUUACGUAAUAGCUGCGUAAUCAUGAUACCCCGAGGUCACUCGAUCGAAACGAGUUGCUGCUA